UACGUAGGGUGCAAGCGUUGUCCGGAAUUAUUGGGCGUAAAGAGCUCGUAGGCGGUCUGUUGCGUCGGCUGUGAAAACCCGAGGCUCAACCUCGGGCCUGCAGCCGAUACGGGCAGACUGGAGUUCGGCAGGGGAGACUGGAAUUCCUGGUGUAGCGGUGAAAUGCGCAGAUAUCAGGAGGAACACCGGUGGCGAAGGCGGCGCUCUGGGCCGGUACUGACACUGAGGAGCGAAAGCGUGGGUAGCAAACAGG
rnacentral:rRNA from 1 species